AACGAACGCUGGCGGCAGGCCUAACACAUGCAAGUCGAACGCCCAGUAAUGGGAGUGGCGCACGGGUGCGUAACGCGUGGGAAUAUGCCCUUCACUACGGAACAACGUUUGGAAACGAACGCUAAUACCGUAUAAUGACUCCGGUCCAAAGAUUUAUCGGUGAAGGAUUAGCCCGCGUUAGAUUAGCUAGUUGGUGAGGUAAUGGCUCACCAAGGCAACGAUCUAUAGGGGGUCUGAGAGGAUGAUCCCCCACACUGGAACUGAGACACGGUCCAGACUCCUACGGGAGGCAGCAGUGAGGAAUAUUGGACAAUGGGCGCAAGCCUGAUCCAGCCAUGCCGCGUGAGUGAUGAAGGCCUUCGGGUUGUAAAGCUCUUUUAACGGUGAAGAUAAUGACGGUAGCCGUAGAAAAAGCCCCGGCUAAAUUCGUGCCAGCAGCCGCCGCGG
rnacentral:rRNA from 1 species